CAGUUUUGAAAAAUCAUUUUUCGUAUGAUUUCAAUCAAUUAACCAGGCCUGUUAAUCAAUUAAAACCAGCAGUUUAAGAGUAGACAGCACUUCGGUUUCACACUUUUUUUCGGCAUUUUCUCUAUUUCAUCUUCCUCUUGAGUCUCUGUAACCGUGAUACAACUGAACCAAGUGCAUUAAACAAGAUAAACCUCACCCCUAACCCUCUCUAAUCUCCUACAAAUCUCUAAUUUCAUCCUUAUUUCACUUCAAUCUCGUUUUCCCCAAAUCAAAACCCUAGGUUAGGUUUGCCACAUUUCCUCUCUGUUUCGUCCAAAAUCAACUCGGUCUCUGCAAAACAAUGGAACAAAGUCACCCAAAAAGGUUCAAAACCCCUGCUAAUCGUGGAAGAAGACCGGAGUUUGGCUCAUCCUCCACUCGGGGCACCCAAUAGGACCGUGGUGACCCAUUCUACUCGCUCCUUCUGCAAGAGACUCGCUUGGCUAAGUUUCAAGGACGAAAACCCACGUAUGUAAGGUAUGUUGAUCUAACCUGGAUGGCGGAACAGAAUUUCAGUUUCCCGCAUGAUAUGGAGGCUCAGGGAGCCGUUAAAUGUCUGGAAUUGAAGGGACAAG
rnacentral:lncRNA from 1 species